rnacentral:lncRNA from 1 species
UUAUUUUUCUCAUAGCCCCUCAAACAUAACUAACUACAUACAAUGUAUAAUGACUAAAUUGGACAUCUAACAAAUCGAAAUAAUAGGAUAAAAUAUACUAGAUGAUUUAAACAACAAUGCAUAAUAAAGCUAUCACCAACAUGACACAAGAGGAUUCAAAUGAGGGUAUAGUGUAAAAAAUAAUACGGAUGCUUCCUUACUUUAAUAAUAUGUGGCUCGUCAACGUCAAACAAGACAGAAUGAUUUUUCCCUCAGUCCUAAAUCAGGACAGACACAACACUAUCAACUAGUACCGAAAGAUUUGAGUUAAAGAAUGUAUGAGAAGAAGCUCUAGAGUAUGCAAUGUUUAUGGAAGAGACCGUUCUGUCAGCAGAAGAUCUCUAUGCCAAACUCUUUUGAGAAUCACUCAAAACUCCAAAAGUUGCACUUGUCAAAUUCAUACAUUCAGAUACGAAGUGGCUAGCUAGACAACAUUGUAGGUGAAACAAAUAUGAAAGAAUAAAAUUCCUUCAGGAUCUCCUGUUCGAACAUCGAACUAAAUAAGAGCUUAGUAUCACACUGCAUAAAUUCAGACACUAAAAUUAACUCCUGUAACUGAAACCAUCAACAUUGCAGCUUUUCUGGGCUCCACGGACCGAGAAAGAAAUGUUUGGCAACAUUAGUGAACAGCUUCUUAAUUUCUUCAGCUCAGCAGAAAUGGACCAGGUUCAAUCUUCCAAGUUCUCAUUCCUAAUGGAGGUAAAUGUCACAUCUCUUUUAACAACCUCAAGGUUGAAUGAUUUACAAUAUCAAGAAUAAUGACCUCUGGUUACCAAGAAAAUGUUCGCAUGGUACAUAAAUCAAUUUAAACUAUCUGUCUCUACAAUAACAAAAUGAUUCUAAGUAGUGCAUAAAAAGAAUAAGCUAAAAGUGAAUUAAAUUUUUCAACGUUGUGAUGUAAAAUUUUGCGUUGCUUAGAAAUGUUAAAAUAUUUGUUAUCGUCUAUACAAUAAAAAAAUCAUUGCCGAAAUAAAUUUGAGCUAACACAUGAAUGUACUUCCCUUGUAUAUUUUGAUCAUGACAUACGAAAUAGAAACUAUUUUUAAAAUAAUGUUGAAAAAAUAUAUGUUAAAUGGCUAUCAAAAGUAAUACAAAUUAUCUUGUAAUUUGUUUAAGCAUAAAAUGAAAUUAUUGACUUAAAAGAUCAAUGUAAUAUAGGAUAAGUUAAGAAAUGGAUAAAUUCAAGAUCGUUAGAGAUUUUUACGAUUCGUAUAAAUAUAUCGAUCAAUGUUCAUAAUUUCUUAUUUUUGUAGUUACAGGAAAAUAAAUAGCUGGUCUCUGUAUAUGAGCGCGAUAUUUUUCUUUCCUUUCCAGUAGUUUUAGUAUUCCUUGGAAGUGUAAACAUGUCGGAGCAACAACAAAAAAGACAACGCGUGUGCGAUCUCUUCCGUGCCAAGAAUGCUGCAGAUACCGUUAUCAUCUCCAUCGGGACUGCUCACAAUAUCAAGAACUCCAUUACAACCCCAUACAGCCAAAAAGCACCAAAACUUCUGCAGCUACAAUAUGGCCGACUUCUGUCGUACCUUCAUGUGGCCCUCCUCCAGCCAUGACCUCAACCCCAUGGAAGUUGCAAAUUGGGGCGUCUUGGGGAAUAAUGUCUGCCGCACCUCUCAUUCAUGAUACGCCAUGGACACGGCCUUCAUCGUCAAGAGCUGCCAAUCUUUUCGCCAGCGUGUUGAGUCUGCAUGUGAUGGAGUGCAUAUAUAAUAAACAAUAGUAUUUAAACAAUUCAUCAACUGGUUUUAGAUGACAUUCCUUGAUUCCAUUAUAAUCAAGUUUUUCGUGGGGUGGGGAGCUCCAGCCUACCUUUUGGGGACACCCCUAAAUACUCUCUUUGGUAUCACUUCUCAUCUCACAUAUUUGAAUUGGCUGAAAAAUGCUUAUGAAAUAUUCGGCUUGAUGGGUAUUUAUGAUGUUCAAAAAUGAAUGAGACAUUUUCACCCUUUUACUUGAUUUUUGUUAAAUAUAUUUUAUCUGUUUUAACUCACCCCAUAUCUCAAGAACACAGGCUUGUGUCUAUUUGUUAAAUCCCUAACUGUAUAUCUAAUUUAUACAGAUUUUUAUAAAUGAAUAAAAAGUAUCUAUCAGUG